rnacentral:rRNA from 1 species
AGUGAACGCUGGUGGUAGGCCUAACACAUGCAAGUCGAACGGCAGCACAGUAAGAGCUUGCUCUUACGGGUGGCGAGUGGCGGACGGGUGAGGAAUACAUCGGAAUCUACUUUUUCGUGGGGGAUAACGUAGGGAAACUUACGCUAAUACCGCAUACGACCUACGGGUGAAAGCAGGGGAUCUUCGGACCUUGCGCGAUUGAAUGAGCCGAUGUCGGAUUAGCUAGUUGGCGGGGUAAAGGCCCACCAAGGCGACGAUCCGUAGCUGGUCUGAGAGGAUGAUCAGCCACACUGGAACUGAGACACGGUCCAGACUCCUACGGGAGGCAGCAGUGGGGAAUAUUGGACAAUAGGCGCAAGCCUGAUCCAGCCAUACCGCGUGGGUGAAGAAGGCCUUCGGGUUGUAAAGCCCUUUUGUUGGGAAAGAAAAGCAGCAGGUUAAUACCCCGCUGUUCUGACGGUACCCAAAGAAUAAGCACCGGCUAACUUCGUG